rnacentral:misc_RNA from 1 species
GAUGAAGAACGUAGCGAAAUGCGAUAAGUAAUGUGAAUUGCAGAAUUCAGUGAAUCAUCGAAUCUUUGAACGCACCUUGCGCUCUUUGGUAUUCCGAAGAGCAUGCCUGUUUGAGUGUCAUGAAAAUAUCAACCUUGACUUGGGUUUUGUGCUCUAGUCUCGGCUUGGAAUUGGGUGCUUGCCGCUUUUACGAGCGGCUCACCUUAAAUGUAUUAGCUGGAUCUGUCUUUGAGACUUGGUUUGACUUGGCGUAAUAAGUAUUUCGCUAAGGACAUUCUUCGGAGUGGCCUCGUUUCUAGGACGCUUGUCCGCUUUCCAUUACAAGUUCCACCUCGUGGACAUGACUUUUUAUUAUCUGGCCUCAAAUCAGGUAGGACUACCCGCUGAACUUAAGCAUAUCAAUAAGCGGAGGA